rnacentral:rRNA from 1 species
CUGAAUCAGUGUGUGUGUUAGUGGAAGCGUCUGGAAAGGCGCGCGAUACAGGGUGACAGCCCCGUACACAAAAAUGCACAUGCUGUGAGCUCGAUGAGUAGGGCGGGACACGUGGUAUCCUGUCUGAAUAUGGGGGGACCAUCCUCCAAGGCUAAAUACUCCUGACUGACCGAUAGUGAACCAGUACCGUGAGGGAAAGGCGAAAAGAACCCCGGCGAGGGGAGUGAAAAAGAACCUGAAACCGUGUACGUACAAGCAGUGGGAGCACGCUUAGGCGUGUGACUGCGUACCUUUUGUAUAAUGGGUCAGCGACUUAUAUUCUGUAGCAAGGUUAACCGAAUAGGGGAGCCGAAGGGAAACCGAGUCUUAACUGGGCGUUAAGUUGCAGGGUAUAGACCCGAAACCCGGUGAUCUAGCCAUGGGCAGGUUGAAGGUUGGGUAACACUAACUGGAGGACCGAACCGACUAAUGUUGAAAAAUUAGCGGAUGACUUGUGGCUGGGGGUGAAAGGCCAAUCAAACCGGGAGAUAGCUGGUUCUCCCCGAAAGCUAUUUAGGUAGCGCCUCGUGAAUUCAUCUCCGGGGGUAGAGCACUGUUUCGGCAAGGGGGUCAUCCCGACUUACCAACCCGAUGCAAACUGCGAAUACCGGAGAAUGUUAUCACGGGAGACACACGGCGGGUGCUAACGUCCGUCGUGAAGAGGGAAACAACCCAGACCGCCAGCUAAGGUCCCAAAGUCAUGGUUAAGUGGGAAACGAUGUGGGAAGGCCCAGACAGCCAGGAUGUUGGCUUAGAAGCAGCCAUCAUUUAAAGAAAGCGUAAUAGCUCACUGGUCGAGUCGGCCUGCGCGGAAGAUGUAACGGGGCUAAACCAUGCACCGAAGCUGCGGCAGCGACGCUUAUGCGUUGUUGGGUAGGGGAGCGUUCUGUAAGCCUGUGAAGGUGUGCUGUGAGGCAUGCUGGAGGUAUCAGAAGUGCGAAUGCUGACAUAAGUAACGAUAAAGCGGGUGAAAAGCCCGCUCGCCGGAAGACCAAGGGUUCCUGUCCAACGUUAAUCGGGGCAGGGUGAGUCGACCCCUAAGGCGAGGCCGAAAGGCGUAGUCGAUGGGAAACAGGUUAAUAUUCCUGUACUUGGUGUUACUGCGAAGGGGGGACGGAGAAGGCUAUGUUGGCCGGGCGACGGUUGUCCCGGUUUAAGCGUGUAGGCUGGUUUUCCAGGCAAAUCCGGAAAAUCAAGGCUGAGGCGUGAUGACGAGGCACUACGGUGCUGAAGCAACAAAUGCCCUGCUUCCAGGAAAAGCCUCUAAGCAUCAGGUAACAUCAAAUCGUACCCCAAACCGACACAGGUGGUCAGGUAGAGAAUACCAAGGCGCUUGAGAGAACUCGGGUGAAGGAACUAGGCAAAAUGGUGCCGUAACUUCGGGAGAAGGCACGCUGAUAUGUAGGUGAAGUCCCUUGCGGAUGGAGCUGAAAUCAGUCGAAGAUACCAGCUGGCUGCAACUGUUUAUUAAAAACACAGCACUGUGCAAACACGAAAGUGGACGUAUACGGUGUGACGCCUGCCCGGUGCCGGAAGGUUAAUUGAUGGGGUCAGCGCAAGCGAAGCUCUUGAUCGAAGCCCCGGUAAACGGCGGCCGUAACUAUAACGGUCCUAAGGUAGCGAAAUUCCUUGUCGGGUAAGUUCCGACCUGCACGAAUGGCGUAAUGAUGGCCAGGCUGUCUCCACCCGAGACUCAGUGAAAUUGAACUCGCUGUGAAGAUGCAGUGUACCCGCGGCAAGACGGAAAGACCCCGUGAACCUUUACUAUAGCUUGACACUGAACAUUGAGCCUUGAUGUGUAGGAUAGGUGGGAGGCUUUGAAGUGUGGACGCCAGUCUGCAUGGAGCCGACCUUGAAAUACCACCCUUUAAUGUUUGAUGUUCUAACGUUGGCCCCUAAUCGGGGUUGCGGACAGUGUCUGGUGGGUAGUUUGACUGGGGCGGUCUCCUCCUAAAGAGUAACGGAGGAGCACGAAGGUUGGCUAAUCCUGGUCGGACAUCAGGAGGUUAGUGCAAUGGCAUAAGCCAGCUUGACUGCGAGCGUGACGGCGCGAGCAGGUGCGAAAGCAGGUCAUAGUGAUCCGGUGGUUCUGAAUGGAAGGGCCAUCGCUCAACGGAUAAAAGGUACUCCGGGGAUAACAGGCUGAUACCGCCCAAGAGUUCAUAUCGACGGCGGUGUUUGGCACCUCGAUGUCGGCUCAUCACAUCCUGGGGCUGAAGUAGGUCCCAAGGGUAUGGCUGUUCGCCAUUUAAAGUGGUACGCGAGCUGGGUUUAGAACGUCGUGAGACAGUUCGGUCCCUAUCUGCCGUGGGCGCUGGAGAACUGAGGGGGGCUGCUCCUAGUACGAGAGGACCGGAGUGGACGCAUCACUGGUGUUCGGGUUGUCAUGCCAAUGGCACUGCCCGGUAGCUAAAUGCGGAAGAGAUAAGUGCUGAAAGCAUCUAAGCACGAAACUUGCCCCGAGAUGAGUUCUCCCUGACUCCUUGAGAGUCCUGAAGGAACGUUGAAGACGACGACGUUGAUAGGCCGGGUGUGUAAGCGCAGCGAUGCGUUGAGCUAACCGGUACUAAUGAACCGUGAGGCUUAACC